rnacentral:rRNA from 1 species
AACGUAGGAGACAAACGUUAUCCGGAUUUACUGGGCGUAAAGGGCGUGUAGGUGGUUGUGUAAGUCUGGCGUGAAAUUUUUCGGCUUAACCGGGAAAGGUCGUCGGAUACUGCAAAACUAGAGGACGGUAGAGGCGUGUGGAAUUCCGGGUGUAGUGGUGAAAUGCGUAGAGAUCCGGAGGAACACCAGUGGCGAAGGCGACACGCUGGGCCGUACCUGACACUGAUGCGCGACAGCAUGGGGAGCAAACAGG